UGUUCUGUGGCUCAGUUAGUUAAAGCGCCCGACUAAGUGAUACGGAGUCGUGGGUUCGAAUCCCAUCAAAACAA
rnacentral:tRNA from 1 species